GCCACCCUAGCUCAAUGGCAGAGCAUACGCUUCGUAAGCGUGAGGUUGAGAGUUCAAGUCUCUCGGGUGGCU
rnacentral:tRNA from 1 species